rnacentral:rRNA from 1 species
CGCGAAUAGCUCUUACAACAGCCACCUUUUACUAGAAUAUAGUUAUCCUACUUGGAUAACUGUGGCAAUUCUAGAGCUAAUACAUGCAAAAAAGCUCUGACCGCAAGGAACGAGCGCAUUUAUUAGAAUAAAAACCAAUCGGGUUUCGGCCCGUAAUUUGGUGAAUCUGAAUAACUUUGCCAAUCGCACAGUCCUAGUACUGGCGAUGUAUCUUUCAAGUGUCUGCCUUAUCAACUUUCGAUGGUAGGUUAUACGCCUACCAUGGUAGUAACGGGUAACGGAGAAUAAGGGUUCGACUCCGGAGAGGGAGCCUGAGAAACGGCUACCACAUCCAAGGAAGGCAGCAGGCGCGCAAAUUACCCACUUCCAGAACGGAGAGGUAGUGACGAAAAAUAACGAGACAGUCCUCUUCGAGGUCUGUCAUCGGAAUGGGUACAAUUUAAAUCCUUUAACGAGGAUCUAUUGGAGGGCAAGUCUGGUGCCAGCAGCCGCGGUAAUUCCAGCU